rnacentral:rRNA from 1 species
UACGUAGGGUGCAAGCGUUGUCCGGAAUUAUUGGGCGUAAAGAGCUCGUAGGCGGUUUGUCGCGUCUGCUGUGAAAACCCGAGGCUCAACCUCAGGCCUGCAGUGGGUACGGGCAGACUAGAGUGCGGUAGGGGGAGAUUGGAAUUCCUGGUGUAGCGGUGGAAUGCGCAGAUAUCAGGAGGAACACCAAUGGCGAAGGCAGAUCUCUGGGCCGUAACUGACGCUGAGGAGCGAAAGCAUGGGGGAGCGAACAGG